rnacentral:rRNA from 1 species
AAACUUUCAACAACGGAUCUCUUGGUUCUGGCAUCGAUGAAGAACGCAGCGAAAUGCGAUAAGUAGUGUGAAUUGCAGAAUUCAGUGAAUCAUCGAAUCUUUGAACACACAUUGCGCCCCUUGGUAUUCCGAGGGGCAUGCCUGUUCGAGCGUCAUU